rnacentral:siRNA from 1 species
AGCCACGAUGAGGGCAUUGGUUGG